rnacentral:rRNA from 1 species
AGUGAACGCUGGCGGUAGGCCUAACACAUGCAAGUCGAACGGCAGCACAGUAAGAGCUUGCUCUUACGGGUGGCGAGUGGCGGACGGGUGAGGAAUACAUCGGAAUCUACUUUUUCGUGGGGAUAACGUAGGGAAACUUACGCUAAUACCGCAUACGACCUACGGGUGAAAGCAGGGGAUCUUCGGACCUUGCGCGAUUGAAUGAGCCGAUGUCGGAUUAGCUAGUUGGCGGGGUAAAGGCCCACCAAGGCGACGAUCCGUAGCUGGUCGGAGAGGAUGAUCGCCCACAUGGGAACUGGGACAGGGUCCAGACGACUACGAGAGGGAGCAGUGGGGAAUAUUAGACAAUAGGCGCAAGCCUGAUCCAGCCAUACCGAGUGGGUGAAGAAGGCCUUCGGGUUGUAAAGCCCUUUUGUUGGGAAAGAAAAGCAGCAGGUUAAGACCCCGCUGUUGUGACGGUACCCAAAGAAUAAGCACCGGCUAACUUCGUG